AGGGUGCAAACGUUGUUCGGAAUUACUGGGCGUAAAGCGCGUGUAGGCGGCUAAGUAAGUCGGGCGUGAAAUCCCACGGCUCAACCGUGGAAGUGCACCCGAAACUGCAUAGCUAGAGUCCUGGAGAGGAAGGUGGAAUGCUUGGUGUAGAGGUGAAAUUCGUAGAUAUCAAGCGGAACACCGGUGGCGAAGGCGGCCUUCUGGACAGUGACUGACGCUGAGACGCGAAAGCGUGGGGAGCAAACAGG
rnacentral:rRNA from 1 species